CGUCUAACUCUUCAAAGCAACAAUUAUAAACUUUUUCUGUAUUUAGGUGAUGUUGAUGGUUCUGUUGAGGCCAUUUUGAACAUUAUAGAUACCUAUGAUGCUUCACACGAGUGUGAACUAGAAUUAGUACAUUUUGGAGUGGGUGAUAUAAGUGCAAAUGAUGUUAACCUUGCUGAAACAUUUAAUGGUGUUAUAUACGGGUUUAAUGUGAAUGUAGGCAAAGUUAUCCAACAGUCGGCUGCAAAAAAAGGUGUAAAAAUUAAACUUCACAAAAUAAUUUACCGUCUUGUUGAAGAUUUGCAAGAGGAACUGAGCAGCAGAUAACCCUGUGCUGUGGAAGAACACCCAGUAGGUGAGGCAUCUAUACUAGCUACCUUCUCUGUAACAGAAGGGAAGAAAAAAGUUCCUGUGGCUGGCUGCAGAGUCCAAAAGGGACAGUUAGAAAAACAAAAAAAAAUUAAAUUAAUCCAUAAUGGACAUGUAAUUUGGAAGGGUUCAUUAACCUCACUGAAACACCAAAAAGAUGGCAUCUCAAUUGUCAAAACGGAAAUGGAUUGUGGUCUCAGUUUAGAUGAAGAAAAUAUGGACUUUAAAGUGGGAGAUAGAAUUGUUUGUUACAAAGAAAAACAAAUUCAAGCCAAGACUUCUUGGGAUCCGGGAUUUUAAAAUUACAUUAAAGAUGUAAAUAACUCAA